UGCGCUAGUAUAGCAUUAUACCGUGAACUGCGAAUGGCUCAUUAAAUCAGUUAUCGUUUAUUUGAUAAUACCUUACUACUUGGAUAACCGUGGUAAUUCUAGAGCUAAUACAUGCUAAAAAUCCCGACUUCGGAAGGGAUGUGUUUAUUAGAUAAAAAACCAAUGCCCUUCGGGGCUUCUUGGUGAUUCAUGAUAACUUUACGGAUCGCAUAGCCUUGCGCUGGCGACGGUUCAUUCAAAUUUCUGCCCUAUCAACUUUCGAUGGUAAGGUAUUGGCUUACCAUGGUUUCAACGGGUAACGGGGAAUUAGGGUUCGAUUCCGGAGAGGGAGCCUGAGAAACGGCUACCACAUCCAAGGAAGGCAGCAGGCGCGCAAAUUACCCAAUCCCGACACGGGGAGGUAGUGACAAUAAAUACUGAUACAGGGCUCUUUUGGGUCUUGUAAUUGGAAUGAGUACAAUUUAAACCUCUUAACGAGGAACAAUUGGAGGGCAAGUCUGGUGCCAGCAGCCGCGGUAAUUCCAGCUCCAAUAGCGUAUAUUAAAGUUGUUGCAGUUAAAAAGCUCGUAGUUGAAACUUGGGCCUGGCUGGCGGGUCCGCCUCACCGCGUGCACUCGUCCGGCCGGGCCUUCCUUCUGAAGAACCUCAUGCCCUUCACUGGGCGUGUUGGGGAAUCAGGACUUUUACUUUGAAAAAAUUAGAGUGUUCAAAGCAGGCCUUUGCUCGAAUACGUUAGCAUGGAAUAAUAAAAUAGGGCGUGCGUUUCUAUUUUGUUGGUUUCUAGAGACGCCGCAAUGAUUAACAGGAACAGUCGGGGGCAUCAGUAUUCAGUUGUCAGAGGUGAAAUUCUUGGAUUUACUGAAGACUAACUACUGCGAAAGCAUUUGCCAAGGAUGUUUUCAUUAAUCAGUGAACGAAAGUCAGGGGAUCGAAAGACGAUCAGAUACCGUCGUAGUCUUUGACCGUAAACUAUGCCCGACUAGGGAUCGGGCGAUGUUUCUUUUUUCUGACUC
rnacentral:rRNA from 1 species